ensembl:lncRNA
GAAUCAAACGCUUGCUAUGGUGAAAUGUGACUGAAACCCUCCGCAGAGCCAAGAGCCGCUGGAGAACCCAGCUCCGAUAAGUGCCAGUGGCAUCACUGAUUUGGUAUUCCCAAGAGCUACAGUUAUUUUUCCAGAUGAUGGUACUUGAAGAGGAGGCCUUUGAGAUUCCCAGGAAGGUCUCAGAGCUAGAAGAAUUGAUUUCCAACUAGAAGAAUUGAUUUCCAACUAGAAGACACUGGAGCUGAAGCUCCAAUACUUUGGCCACCUGAUGCAAAUAGCCAACUCAUUGGAAAGAUCCUGAUUCUGGAAAAGAUUGAAAGCAGAAGAAGGGGGUGACAGAGGAUGAAAUGGUUGGAUGGCAUCACCAAUUCAAUGGACAUGAAUUUGAGCAAACACUGGGAGAUGGGAAAGGACAGGGAAACCUGGCAUACUGCAGUCCAUGGGGUCACAAAGAGUCAGACAUGACUGAGCAGCUGAAGAACAACAAUCUAGAAGAAAGUCUCUGCCCUUCAUAGGUGAUACAAGCAAAGGUAUUAUUUCUGCCCCUAAGGAGCUAUCAAUCCAGUUUCAGAAACUUGUGGGAUUCCCUAGCUUUUCCCUAAAAGCUUUUAGGAGAACAAAGUCAUGGCCCCCAGGUACUAACUCAUAAAAUAGUGUCCCUAAGAAAGGCUUAAAACUCAACAUUAAGAAAACUAAGAUCAUGGUAUCUUGUCCCAUCACUUCUUGGCAAAUAGAUGGGGAAACAAUGGAAACAGUGAGAGACUUUAUUUUGGGGAGCUACAAAAUCACUGCACAUGGUGACUGCAGCCAUGAAAUUUAAAGAUGCUUGCUCCUUGGAAAAAAAGAUAUGAACAACCUAGACAGCAGAGACAUUACUUUGCCAACAAAGGUCCAGUCUAGUCAAAGCUACGGUUUUUCCAGUAGUCAUGUAUGGAUGUGAGAGUUGGACUAUAAAGAAAGCUGAGUGCUGAAGAACUGAUGUUUUUUAAUUGUGGUGUUGGAGAAGACUCUUGAGAUUCCCUUGGACUGUAAGGAUAUCCAACCAGUCCAUCCUAAAGGAAACCAGUCUUGAAUAUUCAUUGGAAGAACUGAUGCUGAAGCUGAAAUUCCAAUACUUUGGCCACCUGAUGUGAAGAACUGACUCAUUGGAAAAGGCCCUGAUGCUGGCAAAGAUUGAGGGCAGAAGGAGAAGGGGAUGACAGAGGAUGAGAUGGUUGGAUGGCAUCACUGACUCUAUGGACAUGAGUUGAGUAACCUCCAGGAGUUGGUGAUGGACAGGGAAGCCUGGCAUGUUGCAGUCCAUAGGGUCGCAAAGAGUCAGAUAUAGGACUGAGCAACUGAACUGAAGAAAGGUUACACUGCCUUGGCCUAUUCAAAUUCCUUGUGCUUGUCAUCAUAUCAUUGGCUUUUGAAUAGACUUUUUAAUCUUCAGUGAAUUUAGUACUUCUUAGGGGCUACAUCUUUUAAAUUCCAGUGGUCCUCAAUUCCCAGCUUAUUGUUAUAAACACAAAGUACAUCAAUGACUGAAUGAGUUAAAGAGUAAAUGAAUAAACUUUCAAUAUGUCAUUCAUAGAGUUGACAAAAUGAUCUAAUUCAUCUUCAGGUUAAGAUCCAGGACAUUAUGACCCAAUGAAAGAGGAAUGAAAGGACCCCUGUUUGCACUUUUUGUUGUUUAGUCAGUCGGUUGUGUCCAGCUCGUGGACUAUAGCCCACUGGGCUCUUCUGUCUAUGGGAUUUCCCAGGCAAGAAUACUGGAGUGGAUUGACAUUUCCUUCUCCAGGGGAUCUUCCCGACCCAGGCAUCAAACUAGCAUCUCCUGCAUUGGUAGGCAGAUUCUUUAUUGUCAGAUAUUCUUUUAGAUGCUAGGAAUACAGUGAUGAAGCUAAGAAUUUGUCCUAACGAAGCUUACAUUCUGAGGAAAGAAUUUCUCUAUAGUAAAUGAAUCAUCCAGUGAGGAAGAAGAUUACA